UACGAAGGGUGCAAGCGUUGUCCGGAAUCACUGGGCGUAAAGGGCGCGUAGGCGGCUCAUGAAGGCUGUGGUGAAAGUCCGGGGCUCAACCUCGGAUCGGCCGUGGCGACUCGUGGGCUGGAGCACUGUAGAGGCGGGUGGAAUUCCGGGUGUAGCGGUGGAAUGCGUAGAGAUCCGGAGGAACACCGAAGGCGAAGGCAGUCUCCUGGCAAGUUACUGACGCUCAGGUGCGAAAGCUAGGGGAGCGAACAGG
rnacentral:rRNA from 1 species